rnacentral:rRNA from 1 species
GAUGAACGCUGGCGGCGUGCCUAAUACAUGCAAGUCGAGCGAACGGACGAGAAGCUUGCUUUUCUGAUGUUAGCGGCGGACGGGUGAGUAACACGUGGAUAACCUACCUAUAAGACUGGGAUAACUUCGGGAAACCGGAGCUAAUACCGGAUAAUAUUUUGAACCGCAUGGUUCAAAAGUGAAAGACGGUCUUGCUGUCACUUAUAGAUGGAUCCGCGCUGCAUUAGCUAGUUGGUAAGGUAACGGCUUACCAAGGCAACGAUGCAUAGCCGACCUGAGAGGGUGAUCGGCCACACUGGAACUGAGACACGGUCCAGACUCCUACGGGAGGCAGCAGUAGGGAAUCUUCCGCAAAGGGCGAAAGCCUGACGGAGCAACGCCGCGUGAGUGAUGAAAGUCUUCGGAUCGUAAAACUCUGUUAUUAGGGAAGAACAUAUGUGUAAGUAACUGUGCACAUCUUGACGGUACCUAAUCAGAAAGCCACGGCUAACUACGUG